CCUACGGGGGGCUGCAGUGAGGAAUAUUGGUCAAUGGGCGGAAGCCUGAACCAGCCAAGUAGCGUGCAGGAUGACGGCCCUACGGGUUGUAAACUGCUUUUAUACGGGAAUAACGCGCCUUACGUGUAGGGCUUUGCAUGUACCGUAUGAAUAAGGACCGGCUAAUUCCGUGCCAGCAGCUGCGGUAAUACGGAAGGGCCGGGCGUUAUCCGGAGUUAUUGGGGUUAAAGGGAGCGUGGGCCGCUGGUCAAGCGUGCUGUUAAAUGUCCGGGCUCAACCCGGGCCUUGCAGCGCGAACUGGCGUGCUUGAGUCCGCGGAAAGCAGGCGGAAUUCGUCGUGUAGCGGUGAAAUGCUUAGAUAUGACGAAGAACCCCGAUUGCGAAGGCAGCUUGCUGCAGCGGAACUGACGCUGAUGCUCGAAAGCGCGGGUAUCGAACAGGAUUAGAUACCCUGGUAGUC
rnacentral:rRNA from 1 species